rnacentral:rRNA from 1 species
UGGGGAAUAUUGGGCAAUGGAGGAAACUCUGACCCAUCUACGCCGCGUGCGGGAUGAAGGCCUUCGGGUUGUAAACCGCUUUCAGUAGGGAAGAAGCGAAAGUGACGGUACCUACAGAAGAAGCACCGGCUAACUAUGUGCCAGCAGCCGCGGUAAUACAUAGGGUGCAAGCGUUGUCCGGAAUUAUUGGGCGUAAAGAGCUCGUAGGUGGUUCGUUACGUCGGAUGUGAAAAUCUGGGGCUCAACCCCAGACCUGCAUCCGAUACGGUCGAGCUAGAGUUUGGUAGGGGAGACUGGAAUUCCUGGUGUAGCGGUGGAAUGCGCAGAUAUCAGGAGGAACACCGAUGGCGAAGGCAGGUCUCCGGGCCAAUACUGACACUGAGGAGACACAGCAGGGGGAGCGAACAGG